AGUCGAGCGGAAGUUGAGUAGUAAUACUUAACCUAGAGCGGCGCACGGGUGCGUAACGCGUAUGCAACCUACCUUUUACUGGGGGAUAGCCCGGAGAAAUCUGGAUUAAUACCCCAUGGUACCUAGAGGUCGAAUGAUUUUUAGUUUAAAGAUUUAUCGGUAAGAGAUGGGCAUGCGUCUGAUUAGCUAGUUGGCGGGGUAACGGCCCACCAAGGCGACGAUCAGUAGGGGUUCUGAGAGGAAGGUCCCCCACACUGGCACUGAGAUACGGGCCAGACUCCUACGGGAGGCAGCAGUAGGGAAUAUUGGGCAAUGGUCGCAAGACUGACCCAGCCAUGCCGCGUGCAGGAAGACGGCCCUCUGGGUUGUAAACUGCUUUUAUCUGGGAAGAAAAAGUCCAUGCGUGGAAAAUUGCCGGUACCAGAUGAAUAAGCACCGGCUAACUCCGUGCCAGCAGCCGCGGUAAUACGGAGGGUGCAAGCGUUGUCCGGAUUUAUUGGGUUUAAAGGGUGCGUAGGCGGCUGAAUAAGUCAGCGGUGAAAGACUUCGGCUUAACCGGAGCAGUGCCGUUGAUACUGUUUAGCUUGAGUGUUGGAGGGGUACAUGGAAUUGAUGGUGUAGCGGUGAAAUGCAUAGAUACCAUCAGGAACACCGAUAGCGAAGGCAUUGUACUGGCCAACAACUGACGCUGAGGCACGAAAGUGUGGGGAUCGAACAGGAUUAGAUACCCUGGUAGUCCACACCGUAAACGAUGAUUACUCGCUGUUAUGGUGUAAGCUGUAGCGGCCAAGCGAAAGCGUUAAGUAAUCCACCUGGGGAGUACGCCGGCAA
rnacentral:rRNA from 1 species